GCAAUGGUGCACAUAGCGAACCAUCUAUAAACCACAGGGGGACAAAGAAAAGAAAAAAGUUCCAACUGCCGCAAAUUCGAGAGCACGCCCAACUGCAACAAGAAUGCGAAUCGCGGCAUACAUUUGCAUGUACAGGAAUUUGACUGAAAUGGUGCUACUAAAAGACGACAGACAAUGAUUCUGAGCUAACCAGAUGCGUGUUCUCCACCGGGCGCUCUAGAGGACUGUAGGAGAUAUAAAGGAUCCAUGGAAUGACCCAUAUUUCCUCCAGAGCCAGAAAGCUGCAGUCAUACAUCAUUUACCAACCAUUUGUCUGACGUCAGAGGACUUGCGAGGACUACACCCCCAAUCCUGAAAGAAGUCAGCUUCUGUCUGUUUGUUUUUAACUAAUUAAUUAAAAAUAAAAAGCUGAAAUGUC